AAUCUGCCAGCUUCCACAGUGGCAGAUUUUCCCAUAGUGGGAAGCUGGCAGAUUC
ensembl:miRNA MIR4727 microRNA 4727